AUUGGAGGGCAAGUCUGGUGCCAGCAGCCGCGGUAAUUCCAGCUCCAAUAGCGUAUAUUAACGUUGUUGCAGUUAAAAAGCUCGUAGUUGAAGUGAGGGAGUGUGUGGGUAUGAGAGCUAGUCUCAAGUACUCACAACCUCCCCCCUCCAAUCGGUGUAGUGGGGUAUUCAGUUAUUCUACUACUCCUUUGGUCGUUUACUGUGAGAAAAUUAGAGUGUUCAAAGCGGGCGUUUGUUUGAAUAGAUUAGCAUGGAAUAAUGAUUGAAGGCUUUCGUGUUCGAUUUGAUUGGUUUGUUCAUGGAAGCAAGGUUAAAAGGAACAGUUGGGGGUAUUCAUAUUCACUAGUUAGAGGUGAAAUUCUCGGAUUUAUGGAAGAUGAACAGGUGCGAAAGCAUUUACCAAGGAUGUUUUCAUUAAUCAAGAACGAAAGCUAGGGGAUCGAAGAGGAU
rnacentral:rRNA from 1 species